UGCACCAAGCACACAACACA
rnacentral:misc_RNA from 1 species